rnacentral:rRNA from 1 species
AUUCCAAUCGAACUCGGAGAUAGCUGGUUCUCCCCGAAAUAGCUUUAGGGCUAGCCUCAUAUUAGAUACCCGGAGGUAAAGCACUGAAUGGCCUAGCGCCCGAGAGGGUAGCGAAGCCUAUCAAACUAAGAAUGCCGGAGUAUUGAUGUAUGGGAGUCAGACAGUGUGAGAUAAAUCUCAUUGUCAAAAGGGAAACAGCCCAGAUCUACAGCUAAGGUCCCAAAUUGUAUCUAAGUGGAAAACGAUGUGGAAAUACGCAGACAACCAGGAUGUUGGCUCAGAAGCAGCCACUCAUUUAAAGAGUGCGUAAUAGCUCACUGGUCGAGCGUCUCUGCGCGGAAAAUUUAACGGGGCUAAGAUACAAACCGAAGCUUAGGCUGUGUACAUUGUACACGGGGUAGGGGAGCGUUGUGUAAGCGGAGAAACAGUAGCGUAAGCGGCUGUGGAGUUUACAGAAGUGAGAAUGCCGGAAUGAGUAGCGCGAAUGUGGUGAGAAUCCACAUGGCCGGAAACCUCAGGUUUUUGGAGGAAGGUUCGUCCGCUCCAAGUUAGGCGGGAGCUAAGGUCAGGCCGAAAGGCGUAGCCGAUGCACAGACGGUAGAGAUUCCGUCCCCACCGAAAGAUUUAAGCACAGGGACACUUUUUGAAGGUCGGAGCCAGGUGUUGGUUCUGGUAGUGAUCGAGGGAAAUAUAGUACCGAAGUCCGGCUGGAGAAGAGGCGAGAAAAGCUGUGUGUAUAUCUAAGGUGCCCGUACCGCAAACCGACACAGGUAGGUAGGAAGAAGAUUCUAAGGCCAACGGGAGAAGGGUUGUUAAGGAACUCGGCAAGUUGACCCCGUAACUUCGGAAUAAGGGGUGCUCACGAGAGUGAGCCGCAGAGAAUAGGCCCAGGCAACUGUUUACCAAAAACACAGGUUUGUGCUAAAUCGAAAGAUGACGUAUACGAGCUGACGCCUGCCCGGUGCUGGAAGGUUAAAAGGAGAUGUGCAAGCAUUGAAUUGAAGCCCCAGUGAACGGCGGCCGUAACUAUAACGGUCCUAAGGUAGCGAAAUUCCUUGUCAGGUAAGUUCUGACCCGCAUGAAAGGCGUAAUGAUUUGGGCACUGUCUCAACAGCCCGCCCGGCGAAAUUGUAGUACCGGUGAAGAUGCCGGUUACCCGCGACAAGACGGAAAGACCCCAUGGAGCUUUACUGUAGCCUGAUAUUGGGUUUCGGUGUUGCAUGCACAGGAUAGAUGGGACACUGGGAAGCGGAUGCUUUGGCGUUCGUGGAGUGGACGUUGGGAUACCAUCCUUGCGACAUUGGAAUUCUAACCUGCGCCUCUGAAUCGAGGCGGGGGACAUUGUCAGGUGGGCAGUUUGACUGGGGCGGUCGCCUCCUAAAAAGUAGCGGAGGCGUUCAAAGGUUCGUUCGAUCUGGACGGAAACCAGAUGAUUGAGUGCAAACGCAUAAACGAGCCUGACUGCGAGACUGACGGGUCGAGCAGAGACGAAAGUCGGAGUUAGUGAUCCGGUGGUAUGUGAGUGGAAAUGCCAUCGCUCAACGGAUAAAA